GGAGGGGUGGCAGAGCGGUCGAUUGCGGCGGUCUUGAAAACCGUUGGCCCGCAAGGGCCCAGGGGUUCGAAUCCCCUCCCCUCCGCCA
rnacentral:tRNA from 1 species